GCAGAUGUAGUUUAGUGAGAGAAUGGUUGUCUCCAAAACAACAGGCAGAGGUUUGAUUCCUUUCAUCUGCG
rnacentral:tRNA from 1 species